rnacentral:piRNA from 1 species
UUGGAUGAUGAUGAGGCCUGUGCGU